GGAGCCUGGCUGCACCUCUCUUAGACCUCAUUUAAGGGCUGACUGCCACUGAGGAGGCUUUCUUUCUGGAGGUCCCUGUUUGGUGGAGCUUUCCCCUGUGAACCUGGAACCUUCAGAUACAGCCAUUGCUCCAGGGACUAUCUGCCCACCAGCACUAUGUUAGCUCCAGUCAGCAAGUUGGAAGUCACGGACUUGACAGGCAACCAUACAGGGAAGAUGGAUGUCAUUUGUUUCUUUAACUUAUUGUCAGCCUGUGGCCACCUUCAUAUGUUCUCUCUGCUGAGCAGGUGGAGGUAACUGUCCCUUGCCAUGCAGUGCUCCAUUUCUCACUGACUAUCCAGUGUCUCAUGGAAAAUCUCCUCAAAGCUACUAUCUCAGAAUCUGUAAAUGUCCCAGCAGGGCUUCUUGUACAUGUCAGCAAGGUUGAGCAAUAGAUUUAUUUCUAAGAAUCGUGAACAUCGCUACUUCAUGUACCAGGGCAUAUUUGGCCCCUUCUGUGGUACCAGUGGGAUUGAAAUGGUCUCAUGCACACAACAGCCACUCUUCUCAAGAGAAUAUAAAACCUCCCAAACUGAAAAGGAAGCAAUUGACAUUUGCCAAGUUCAUGUGAAAAUGAUAAUUUAUUGUCAGGAGACAAGGAAGCCACUGGAGCAAGCUAUCCAAAGAAAGUUGUCAGAAACACUGACUCCUGAUGAGGCAGGUCAAACCUAAUCAUCUCUUUCAACUUCAACACCUAUGCAGUUAUGGUGAAACACAGGAAAGCGCUCAGAACUCUUCUUUCACUGUGAGCAAGAUACAAGCAAGAGGACAUGACCACAAGCAGUGUUACUCUCAGGAAGUGCCAGUUGAAUCUCCCGUCUCUUUGCAGUUUUCUCCUCACGAAUUCCCCAAUGGGCAUCGUGACUGCACUGAUCUUGAACAGAGGCUUUUAUGGCUUUGUCCAAAAUGACUGGGCAUUGUGUAGUACCCUAUGCCAAAAUCAACCUCUAGAACUUUAAUAAUUUACUGAAAAUGUGUUAAAUGUGCCCCAAGAAAAUGUGCAGCUGAGAAAAUCUCACACUUCGUGAAGCAGUAAAUCUUGCUGUAGUCAAUACAAAAUCUCUUUGCAUAUUAUUUGCUAAUAAGACUCAGUACUUUCAUGGGAAGACGAAUAUUUUUCACUCACUUCUCUACAGGGCAAAUGUCUUUACCUCUCCGCAGAUGGCAGCUUGCAGGCAGAUCCUCUUCCAAUAUGAAUGGCCUGCAUUUGUCCUGUCAGCCAUGGGGUUUGUAGCUGCUUUGGGAUUCAGCACUACAGUGGCAGUGGGAGGCUGAUGUGGUGUCACGGUUCAGUCCCUCCACUGGCAGUCAACUCAACUCCUGUCCAUGUGUCUUAGUGUGCAACUGCUGAUACAAGCACAGUGGGGCUCACCAACUUACCCACACGGGCUAGAGGUAAACAAGCGACACUGAGAGCAGUCUUGUGGCCUCCAUUUACAGGCAGCCUGAGUACAGCCAUGUGCCUUUUGGUAUGUUUUUCCUUUCCAUGCUUAUCUUGGCCAGUGAUUGUUUACACUCAUCUGUGGGACUGAGGAAAUUAAAACAGCAAGUGGAGGUGUGCUGGUGGGCCUGUCUUUAUUUCUCCCUCCCUACUUUAACCAAAUUAUAUCUAAAGUGUAGCAUAGGAAAUGUCUCCCUGCCAGACUCCUGGUAGGACCACGCCGUGCCAGGGGUCUCGCUUGGAGAGCAGCCUGAUGUCAUAUGAGGGCAGCAAGUGGUUGUUCAUGUGGUGAUUUUUUUUUUCCUUCAGGAUGUGAUAAGGGGGUUUAUGUUGAGAAAAGUAUGUCAACAGGUUAGAAACGUUAACAACAAUAAUCUUUCCAGGGUUGCUUAUGCUUACCGUGCCUUCACAAAUAUUUUUAAAAAGUAGUCUGUUGAUGGGAAGCAGCUCCUUUGUAUCUGGAGACCUAGUCUCAAUUGUUUUCAUGGAGCUGGGCAUCCAGUCCACUGACUUUUCCAGAAGAACUCAGCAGAACAUAAGAUAUCACAUCAAAAAGCCAUUUCCUGGUAACAUGGCAUCUUCCCUGGCAAAAGCUUCUUAAAACAAACAAAAAAGGCUCAGUAGAUAAACUUCUCAAUUCCAGACUUGCUUUAGACCAUAUUUGCCUGACAGUAUGCGUUGUUGGUCACACAGUAAGCAACUUUCCCUUCCUUUCUUAUUCCUGCUACAAGGUCCUGCACACACCCUAUAUAUGUUUACAGAUAUAGACCUAUGAUUACUUUGGAAGUGCAAAAUAUUUGGCUAAAGGAUUGGGACAGAGUUUGCUUGGCUCUGACAAACCUCAAUGCCUUCAGAUUUGGCUGGCCCCAAACAAAAUCUGUGCUUCAAAACAUGAUUUGAUUUCUCAGCAAUAAAGCAAACAUCUCAGACAGUGCUUUUUGGCUUUGUAUCACCAUCUGGCCUGUUCCCUUCAGGGCUGAGGAGGUUGGGGGAAGAACAGAGAUGCACAGCUGAAGCUGGCAUUUCAGAGGGAUUUCUGGCUUUGAUUCCUCCUUUAUGGAAUCCUAUCAACCAGCCAAUUGUCUGAGUGUGAGUCUGAGUGGUCCUACCUGGCCAUUUCAGUAUGGGUCAGCAAGUGCAUGACAUAUUGCCUGUGCCUUUGGAGACAGAAUCAUACUGGGGUUUAAAGUUGUUUGUUACUUUGGAUUUGCUAUGGGCUCUUUGCUCUCAGCUACCUCAUACCUGAAAUGGACAAUCUGUGCUGCCUGCCUUCCCCUUUCUACUCCAUACACACUCCUCCUUCUGUCUCCAGCUAGACCUGGAGAGACUCACAGUAAUUCUUGUUACUGAGUUUAGGACUGCUCAGAACCUUUGAAAGAGCUACACAUGACAUGUAUGUUGUGUUAGUGAAUGAACAGUUUUGUACUGGGACAUUAAUUACCAAGGGGCCUGGCAAAGAACAGGGAAUACAAGUCCUUUUCUUACAUAAACAUGUUCAGUUUUGGUUGGCUGAGUACCUGGAUACCAAUUCCCUAUGGGUUAGGAUUACUUUGGUUUAUUUAUGCAGUCAUGUUCCUGUUUUGAAUUUAACAACUCCCUAACUAUCAUCACCAAGGAAGAAAAAAUAUUGAUAUGCAAGUUACAGGAGACAGGAGAUAAUCUUGUGUUCCAUUUCAACAGAAACUAAAAAAUAUUUAGCCAGAGGCGUCACUAAACAGCCUGCACAAUUCACACAGAAAACUGGAUGAACCACGUUUGUCAUCUCUUGACACUACUUGGCAUUUCCCAAUUUUUGUUAUUUCCAGAAUGGGGACUUAAACACUCUCUCUGUGUGUACCUCUGAUAAUUAUAUCUUGUUAUAGGGGAGGAAAAAAAGGAAAAAACAAACAAACAAAUCUAUACACAGUGAAAUAACAGGUAAUAAUCCAAACACUGCGUCCCACAUGCUGUCUAAAUGCAGUAGUAUCAGAGGUUUGUACACUGUUAAAGAUAA